CACGUAGGCGGAUAUUUAAGUCAGGGGUGAAAAUCCCAGAGCUCAACUCUGGAACUGCCUUUGAUACUGGGUAUCUUGAGUAUGGAAGAGGUAAGUGGAAUUCCGAGUGUAGAGGUGAAAUUCGUAGAUAUUCGGAGGAACACCAGUGGCGAAGGCGGCUUACUGGUCCAUUACUGACGCUGAGGUGCGAAAGCGGUGGGGAGCAAACA
rnacentral:rRNA from 1 species